ensembl:lncRNA
GCUGACUCCCUGAGUUGAAGAGACAGAACUGAGAGUCAGAGGAGAACAAGGUGGCUAGAGUUCUUAGAAUGGAGCACAAGAAAAGAGGGAACUUCAUAGAGAGAGAACUUCAGAGGUCUACAGAAAGCCCGUCUCAAGCAUAUGGCAGAGUAUUGAUCACCACAUACCUGUGACAAAACAACCCAAGUCAAAGGGCCUCUGCAUGUUUAUUGCCGUUAAUACUUGAAACGUUCAAAGCACAAAGGAAACUGGCCAUUCAGCAGAAUCCUGUAAUGAUUUGAAAUUGGAAGACCCUGGUCUGUGUUUGCUUAUUGUCUGCCUACUAUGUGUCAGACACUGAGGUUAUGAAAUUCAAUGGAGAAUGCAAUGGAUGCAUGGUCAUAAACCAUGGAUGGAGGCAGCAUCCACCAAAGUCAGCUCCUCCUACUGGCAAGAAACUCAGCAGAACCUGCACGUGCACUUUGAAGAAGAAACCUUGAUCAGUCCCCCAGGUUUGAGGAGUUUUCUAGAGACAUGAUCUCAUAAGCCAACAGGAGGUUAAAGAUGGUGCAAUUAUUUUAGAGAAGAUGGAUCUACUGGGUCAAUGCUAAAAACAGCCUACUUCAUCUAGAGAAGCAGAGGCAUGUCCAGAUGACCUUCAGACUUCCCUUCCAAUUCUUGGAAUUGAAUAUCAAACAGAUCACAAGCAAGGUGGGACUAGUGGUAAAGAACCCACCUGUCAAUGCAGGAGACACAAGAGAGGCGGGUUCGAUCCCUG